CCUUAGUGGUACUACUCAGCCACGUUACCUUUGCCUUUGAUCUUGCCUUGUACACCAAGUAACUUUGUCUUUGUAUCCUGCAGGUUUCCUAACCUGAUUUUGCCUUGCAUUAAAUCCUGCCUGGAUAAACAGUCUUCUGGAAGGAAGCAAUCCAGUUCCAUGAACAAAGACUCAAGUCUCUCAUGACUUCGUUGGAUCACGCCGGCUGGCAGCCUCCUGAUUCCUGCGUACCUCGGACCUCCAUCUGCGAACCCUGUCCACCCUCCUCCCUCCAUCGCACCUCGUGGAUUACAAACUCUCCUGGCUUACCAUAUCCACCAACUUCAGUCUCACCGGCAAACAACCACUUGGUUUCUCCACGUCCCCUCUGGCGGAUCCCUCCACCAUUCUUUUUUGCAUCCUGGUUCCAGUUCCCUGCAUUAUUCACUCAGUUGUAAAUAAACACUUUAAUGAACAGUACCGUCUCCUGAACUGCUUUCUGCAUGUGGGUCAAAUCCUUUAAACUCAAUAUGACAGUUAAACUUGUAUAGUCUGUUCCCCCAAUGGAUCUUAUUAUGUUAUGUUCUCCCUUUUUUUUAUUUUAGUUUUUUAAUUGUUCCACCUGUGUAAGUUGCCCGACUGCCUCACGCCUUGAUUUGAUUUGCUCUAAUGUUCCCUGGCUUGCUUCUAGUGUGUUUUGUUUAUCAUUUAGAAAUGAACAAAUAUAUUUAACUUUUCACCUGCCUUUUCUAAGCUAAAGGGUCCUGCUUGUUUUUUUGUUUUCUCAAUCAAAAGGCAAAUAUUUUAAAAAAUCAGCUUUGUUUGUGGCUUCUUAAAAAUACCAAAGCUUUUUGUAGAUUUAAAAAAAUAUGUGGUGCUGUUUGUCAUAUCUCAAGUAAUUAAAAAAUGAUAUAACUACA